rnacentral:rRNA from 1 species
UACGAAGGGGGCUAGCGUUGUUCGGAAUUACUGGGCGUAAAGCGCACGUAGGCGGCUUUCUAAGUCAGGGGUGAAAUCCUGGAGCUCAACUCCAGAACUGCCUUUGAUACUGGAAAGCUUGAGUCCGGGAGAGGUGAGUGGAACUGCGAGUGUAGAGGUGAAAUUCGUAGAUAUUCGGAAGAACACCAGUGGCGAAGGCGACUCACUGGCCCGAUACUGACGCUGAGGCGCGAAAGCGUGGGGAGCAAACAGG